GUGCAACUGGAGUGGAGAGUCUUUGAAGUAGAGAGUAAUGGAAAUCUUAUUCACAAAAUGUUAGAGUUAAAACUGUUUCUUAGAAAUCAUCUGAUCUAUUGCUUUGCUUUACAGAUGAGAAGUUAAGACUAAGAUGGAAAGUGGUUACACCAUAGUCAUGUUGGCUGAAUAAAAGAGAAUCCACACAACCAGGAAUGGUGGCACAUGCCUAUAAUCCCAGCUACAGAAAGGCUGAGCUAGGAGUACCUCAAGUUCAAGAAGAUCUUUGUGGUUUCCAGAACCAUCUUGACCAGAGGAUGUUCCUGCAAAGAACUGCACCUGUGAAAAGAAUGUCAAAAUAACUAGGCUACUUCUGCAGAGUGUUUUUCCUAUGAAGAUGGUGGUGUUGGUAGUGGUGGGAUUCCAGAAAUGCUGGGAUGGAACCCAGGGCCUUGCACAUGCUAGACAAGUGCUCUACCCCUGAGCC